CAGGCUUAACACAUGCAAGUCGAGGGGCAUCAGGAAGAAAGCUUGCUUUCUUUGCUGGCGACCGGCGCACGGGUGAGUAACACGUAUCCAACCUGCCCUUUACUCGGGGAUAGCCUUUCGAAAGAAAGAUUAAUACCCGAUAGUAUAAUGAUUCCGCAUGGUUUCAUUAUUAAAGGAUUCCGGUAAAGGAUGGGGAUGCGUUCCAUUAGGUUGUUGGUGAGGUAACGGCUCACCAAGCCUUCGAUGGAUAGGGGUUCUGAGAGGAAGGUCCCCCACAUUGGAACUGAGACACGGUCCAAACUCCUACGGGAGGCAGCAGUGAGGAAUAUUGGUCAAUGGGCGCUAGCCUGAACCAGCCAAGUAGCGUGAAGGAUGAAGGCUCUAUGGGUCGUAAACUUCUUUUAUAUAAGAAUAAAGUGCAGUAUGUAUACUGUUUUGUAUGUAUUAUAUGAAUAAGGAUCGGCUAACUCCGUGCCAGCAGCCGCGGUAAUACGGAGGAUCCGAGCGUUAUCCGGAUUUAUUGGGUUUAAAGGGAGCGUAGGUGGACUGGUAAGUCAGUUGUGAAAGUUUGCGGCUCAACCGUAAAAUUGCAGUUGAUACUGUCAGUCUUGAGUACAGUAGAGGUGGGCGGAAUUCGUGGUGUAGCGGUGAAAUGCUUAGAUAUCACGAAGAACUCCGAUUGCGAAGGCAGCUCACUGGACUGCAACUGACACUGAUGCUCGAAAGUGUGGGUAUCAAACAGGAUUAGAUACCCUGGUAGUCCACACAGUAAACGAUGAAUACUCGCUGUUUGCGAUAUACAGUAAGCGGCCAAGCGAAAGCAUUAAGUAUUCCACCUGGGGAGUACGCCGGCAACGGUGAAACUCAAAGGAAUUGACGGGGGCCCGCACAAGCGGAGGAACAUGUGGUUUAAUUCGAUGAUACGCGAGGAACCUUACCCGGGCUUAAAUUGCAGUGGAAUGAUGUGGAAACAUGUCAGUGAGCAAUCACCGCUGUGAAGGUGCUGCAUGGUUGUCGUCAGCUCGUGCCGUGAGGUGUCGGCUUAAGUGCCAUAACGAGCGCAACCCUUAUCUUUAGUUACUAACAGGUUAUGCUGAGGACUCUAGAGAGACUGCCGUCGUAAGAUGUGAGGAAGGUGGGGAUGACGUCAAAUCAGCACGGCCCUUACGUCCGGGGCUACACACGUGUUACAAUGGGGGAUACAGAAGGCAGCUAGCGGGUGACCGUAUGCUAAUCCCAAAAGCCUCUCUCAGUUCGGAUCGAAGUCUGCAACCCGACUUCGUGAAGCUGGAUUCGCUAGUAAUCGCGCAUCAGCCACGGCGCGGUGAAUACGUUCCCGGGCCUUGUACACACCGCCCGUCAAGCCAUGGGAGCCGGGGGUACCUGAAGUACGUAACCGCAAGGAUCGUCCUAGGGUAAAACUGGUGACUGGGGCUAAGUC
rnacentral:rRNA from 1 species